rnacentral:rRNA from 1 species
GUGUCAGCAGCCGCGGUAAUACGUAGGAUGCUAGCGUUGUCCGGAUUUACUGGGCGUAAAGCGCGCGCAGGCGGCACACUAAGUAAGGUGUGAAAUCUCCCUGCUCAACGGGGAGGGAGCACUUUAGACUGGUGAGCUAGAGGACGGUAGAGGGGGGUGGAAUUGCUGGUGUAGCGGUGAAAUGCGUAGAGAUCAGCAGGAACACCCGUGGCGAAGGCGGCCCCCUGGGCCGAACCUGACGCUGAGGCGCGAAGGCUAGGGGAGCGAACGGGAUUAGAUACCCCCGUAGUCC